CUGGGGCGGUUCGCGUCUCGAUCCACUCCAAGCCGGCGCCGAGCACUUCUCGGAGGAGUCAUCGGGUCGUGCCCGACCCCCCGCGCCUGUCGGACGACUGCAGAAGAAAUACGUUACAGUGGAAUAAACCGCUCACGCUGGAGAACUCUGUCCACGACAUCCAGCCUGGGGACCAAGUGUACAUCAAGAAGUGGAUUACGGAUCCGCUACGGGAAUCAUGGAGCGGACCCCACCAGGUGAUGAUGACGACCUACACGGCGGUGAAGGUCCAGGGGAUGGACGCUUGGAUCCAUUACACCAGGCCAGAAAGUUGAGGCCAGUGAAGUUAUUGCAAUAUGGCAACGGGGGGCUGAAAGAAGCCGAGGCAAGACAGAAGUCGGUUGGGAUCAGGAUAAACAACAAGGAAACACGGUACUGAAUCUUACUAAGGCUGCAGGUGAACCAAUUCCCUGGGGAAUAAUACCGGUAACCAAAAUGCCUGAAUCAUUCAAGAAUGUUUCAUGGUCCUGCCAGUCAGUUCCUAAACAAGUAGAGGUAUGGAGGGAUUUGUGCAUGACCACUCGGGCUAUGACUAAAGAGGAAUGUGAAAUGAAACCAAAUCAUUUUGGUUGGAUUCAAAAUACCAGGAGGUGUUUGAUUGCAACCCCAGUAGAUGAGCCAUGCAAUACAGUACGAAUAAGAACAAAAUCCCAACGAAAUGAGAUGAGUUGUCAGAAUAUCACACAGAAUUUUGAUACCUGGAAAAGUUGGAAGACAUUGUGGGGACCCAGUGUUUUGGAACACUAUAGUUACCUUGGGGAAGUACAAUGGUGCAUCCAAUGGUCAGGGGUAAAGAAUCAGUCACAUUAUAGGGCCAUCAUCACGUCUACAUCUUCCCGAGAGUUCAGACCGCAGAAAGAGGAUUGGAAUUGUACUGAGGUUUUUACAUGUGAUACACCGGAAGACCGAAUUGGAUUGGUACCGGUGAAAAUGGCAUUAAAAUGGGGAUGUGAGUGUAGGGGGUAUAAUCACACGGUUAGCAGAGACUCCA